UACGUAGGGUGCAAGCGUUUAAUCGGAAUUACUGGGGCGUAAAGCGUGCGCAGGCGGUUUUGUGAAGUCCUGUCGUGAAAGCCCCGGGCUCAACCUGGGAAUUGCGAUGGAGACGUGCAAGGCUUGAAUCUGGCAGAGGGGGGUAGAAAUUCACGUGUAGCAGUGAAAUGCGUAGAGAUGUGGAGGAACACCGAUGGCGAAGGCAGCCCCCUGGGUCAAGAUUGACGCUCGAUGCACGAAAGCGUGGGGAGCAAACAGG
rnacentral:rRNA from 1 species